CAUGAGUUUACGUUACUGUUACGAAUUUUUUUAAAUAAAAAAAUGGGAAAGUGGUAAAUACCGCAAAUUCGACCAAACAACUAAAGGAUAGAGCUUUUCAAGGUUGCUAUUAUAACAAGUUUGAAAAUAGGGUUUCUAACAUUAUCAAUGAGGCUUUCCUUAAUUUAGGGUUUGCUCAUAUUCCUUGCAGGGAAUACUGCUAUCUUAAGAUUACUGGCAUUAUAAUACUGGGUGAUGGUUUCUCCUUUAAAACCAUGGCAAAACAUCAUGCUAGUCUCUCUUCGUGUGACCUAGCACACAACAGACCGGCUCUUUUUACUAUAUUAGUUUUCUCAAAAUGAAACCUGAAAUAAUCGCUUAGAGCGAAGAGUUUUGCUUCUUGAAUGAUUUAGGCUAUACAACGUUGAUUCAAUUUAGUGCUAUGUUGAAAUGGAGUAAUGAUGUUAUAUCAUGCUUGAGCAGAUAACCUUGUUCACUGUGCGAGAAUUACAUAAUGGGCAGGUUCCUGCGAUCAGGAACUAUUUUCGGUGGUAUCUACAUUUUCCCCCGAAAACCAAGAUUCGGUAUUCUUAGGUUUGAAAGAUUGCUCCCUACUUGAUGAAAUUAGAUGAACCCCAUUCAAACGAAGAACGUUAUUGAAGAGUAUCAUGUUAGCUACAGAACUAGAGCCUCUGCAAUAUUCACGUCAUACGUAAUUACCUCAACAUUCUGCAGAAAAAAAAUAUAAUUCAAUUUGCAUCAUCUUGUAAAACCAACCAUGGUAGACUAAGUUUUAAAUGAAAACAGUUUAAUUAAUGCUUUCUCAACUAAGAUCGAGAAACGAAAUGUUUUAGGCAAUUUUUUUUUUUGAUACGAGAACUUUGUUACUCUUUCAAUUAACUCAACAUAAUUUCACGCUCAUUUUUGAAAAUAAAACCUUGGCGAUGCGACGAAAGGAUUAAGGUUGCGCAUAAAUGACAACAAAGCUAAACUCAACGCUCAAUAGACCUUUAGACAAAUCACCACAAUUAGUGAUUACACUUCAAAAAACAUGAAUAACUUUACAUAUCUACUAUAUUUCAUAUAAUCUAUUAAAAGAUGCAAAAAACACAAAGAAAAAUAAAUGAAAUGAAGAAUAUGGCUUGCGAGUAGAAUGACAAAAAUGUGACAAAAUAUGAAAUUAGACCUUACAAUUUCAAAUAAAUGAAUGACUGCGUGCAAUUGAAGGCAGCACUAACAAACGUCCCCAGCAAAAUGGACGAAACCAAAAAAUCAUUCAUGUUUACAAACAAAGUCGCUAUCAAUAACAAGUCAGAAUAUCGGAGGCUGAGCGUUUCGGGUAUAACGGUUUUGUAAUCAUCUUGUGCGAGAAAUUUCCUAUCCUCCGUAUUUCAUUCCUGACUAAACUAACUAAAAAUUCAAAAUAUUCCUUGAUACAUCCAACUGUGCCAUUCAAAUGAGUUCACUUUAUAUAAUCAUGACGUCAUACACGUUUUAGAUUGCGAUUAAUUCACGUGAAAUAAAAAACUUUGAUCUUCUAUGACUUUGAAACUUUGAUUUUGAUAGCUUCUGAGAACGAGACCUGUUACACCUUUCGUGGCAUACAUUUUGAGCACUCAUCCCACUAUGUUUCACCCGAUAUCAGAAAUAACAAAUGAGCUCUCACUCUCCUACGUUUCCCCCAAAUAAAAUCAUUUUCGAAAAGUGCUAACUACUAAUCGAUCCCUUUCUGACCCUUGACCCUCUUAAACUCAACGCAAAAUGACACCACUUGCUGUAUGUAAAGAGAUUCACAGGCGACAUUUUCUCACCGAAUUUAUUGGCAAUAACCUCAGCCGUUUCCAAACAAAUCAGGUGUGAUAGACAGAUGGAGAGACAGACAGACAUUUUACUAAGCUUUUUUUACACAAAACCUAUGUACAGGAAAACGUUGGUAGAAUAUGCAAAAUUUUGAUUUCGCCGAUCCCUUCGAGUGUCGAGUUCUCAAAAGAAUUGUAGUCCCAGUGGGGGAGCCCAACAUAUGGCAAAUUAGGUAAAAGAAAGGGAGUUAUAGCUCUUAUACAGCGAACGAGAUGCCGUUAUUCAUAUAAAAAUUCAAAAAUUUCGGUGGAAGUCCAGUAAAUAGAUAUCAAACAUUCCGGCUUCCUCAAAGUCAACGCAAAAGAUAAGCGACCACGUGGAAGCUCUAAAGCAAAUGGAACUCAGGGGGACAACGCGAGAUAUGCUUUGCUAGUUUCUAUGAAUUGUACGACACAGUCGCUGGGACUGUUUCACUAUCGGAGAAUAAACAAAGUAAAGGGAGAAUUAUGUGAAAACGAACCUCCGCAUCUAUAAAACAGUCACCAAACCGGCUUUACCUUACGGCUAUGAGACUUCAACCUCAAAUCAAGCUCUACGAAAGUAUAUACUAAACUUUCUGGAGAGAAGGGUACUGAGAAAAAUUGUAGCAGCAGUUUGAGAGAAUGAUAUAUGUAUGGCGAUUUAAGUGCGAUAGGGAGUUGUACAUUGUGGGUAUGCGUUGAACGAAAAAUAUGAACCACGAUAAAGUUGCGAAACGGACAAUUACAUUCACAGAAUGGAUGACUGGAGAGUACUCGAAAAGGUAUCAAAGAGAACUAGUGAAAUCAUAUUAGCCGGAAUGCCUGGAAAACACUGCCAAAUUCAGUCCAGAUCAAAAGUUCAUCAAGAUCCAACACAUCUGAGUAGACAAAGUGCAUGACAAACUGAAGUGCUAUUUUGUCAACUGAGAAUGCCGAGAACAUGACCACGGCCACGAUAAACUGCGUUCUAAUAUUUCCGAACUUCAAUUAUAGAUUCGAUGACAGAUAUUUCAUACAACCACUUACGUGGACAAUUAAUAAAGCGGUUGAGUUCCAGUAAGAGAAAACGAGGCAGCUCACGGAGAGUACUUCCAUGGGCGACGAAAAACCCUCCCAGUUCCUCUGCCGCGUGCAGCGCCUCACCGGUCCCGCGGUUCUAGAGGCGCUGAUGUUGCUAGGGUCUUAAGAGGUAAGCAGGGAUACGCGCAGUUAAAUAGUAGCUUCUCUUCGUGAAUGCAUCCAGACGGAAACGUCAACAUUCUCCAUCCAGGGUAUGCUACUGUGCAGCUCGAAAAAUCUUCGUACCUAGAAUACAUAUUGGUACCACUAUAGAUUGAUUCAAUUCCGGAGCCGUGAAAUGAACGAAAUAAUGUAAUUGGACUUCGGAUAAUACGAAUGGCCCCGUUUCAUCCCUUUCACGAUGACUGCCUUUGUCCAUCCGAAUUAUAAAAAACACAAUUGCCUGUAGGCACAUGCGCCGAAAUAAGCAUUUACCCGCGGUCCAAAAACAAAGAACCAUAUAAAAAGAGACGUUGCAAGGCAGUCAGGUGAAGCCGACAGCAUCAGCACACUUCGCAAUAACCAAAAGGUGCAAACAGUGGCGUCAAUAUCUCAGCAAUCAAUUUAACACAGCACGUCGCAAAAUGAAUCUAUAAACAGUUUGCUAGACACUGCUCCUGCGGCAAUUACCAGCACGUCUAUUAGUAAUAUGGAUCGACUCGAACCUUCUUACCCGAUGGCAAGCGACAUCGAAGGAAACUGGAUCUCGAACCAACACCAGGAAACAAUAGCAACAAUACAUGCUCCCAGGAGAGAUAUCCCAAAAACUGAUCUAACUCCGGUUCAAAAACUAGCAGUUGCAAACCCAACGAAAUCCGGCGGAUGAGUUAGAUUUCCUGAUCAUUACCAGGCAGGCCUUCAGAAGUUCAACUAUACAAACAUCACAAAUUCAUAGCUGGCGUCACGAUAGGGGCAGCCUGGGUUUAGAAUUUGUUUAAUUAUCUUUCUUUCCAACCGAAGUGAUCUACUCCCUAAAAAUUAACUAAUUUCUAGAAGGUUAAGUAGAGCAGACACUCGAUGGAAGAGGGAGUCUACUCACAGCUCUCACUUUGUGAACACGACAAUGAGAAGCAGGUCAGAUGUUGCAUUUGAAUAAAUUUAUCAAAUUUAUAUCAAGGCUCUUAUUGAAUUUUUGCUGUAAGCCAUUAACCUCAUUUGAUAAUUCCCAAGGUUCCAUCCGAAUGAUUGCAGCAACAGAUGGUCUCCCGUUUGUCAGCAUGCUUCUCGAUGGGGUUUUCAACUUUUAGAGUCUCACAGUAUCUCGCUGCGUUGAUGGUCUCUCCUGGGCCAGAUAUUUAAUCAAUAUCGGUGUUACGUCACUGUUUUUCAGGCGUGUAGUGAGCAACCUAAGUCUCAUUUCCAGUUAACGUCAUUUUUCGCAAGAGGUGCUCCUGGGGUAAGUGUUUGAAGCAUACCAACUUCAUAUUGGUCUCCUUUUGAAGGGGAGUCAAGCUGCACAAUAGUAUUGCCAACGUUAGUUAGCCAAGUUAGUACCGACCGGUGAAAUUCACAUUUUAGUAACAGAUUUUUAGCGUUUAAAUCGAUUGUUACACAUCAUUCUCUGAAACAUAUGAAUAUAAAGAAAGGUAAAUUAUGAGAAAUAGGGUUCUCCGAUGCUUCCUUUUAGGAAGUAUGUAGUUUGAAGAGCAAUUGCAUAACUCAUGACUCGCUUAUGAUUAGCUGUUCUCAUUGGAACCUGCGCAGCUCUGGAAGUUGAUUUACUUUGGAAGUAUUAAUAAGUUGUUGAUAUGAGUUUUUUUGCUGAACCAUGGAAGUGGCGUCUUCGAAAAAGUCUCAGUGGAGACGACCGAUGCACAUGAUUUACCCUUCAAUCGCUCGCCCGGUCGUUAGAUAUCAUUUCGCCAAUUAUCCUGUUUUUCCUAUAUAGCUAUCGCUUGCUUUUUCCUUUCCGUUGCUUCUUGCCAUCUGUCUUCCAACUGUAAUAUGUGCUACCUCUACCAGGUGAUGCACUCGCGAAAUAUUGGUCCUCCACGCCGUGAAAUAACUGCAAGAAUAUUGCGUCUUCUUCCUCUCCCGGGCAAGUCGGACAUAUUGACGAAUCGUCAUACCCAAUCCUGUCUAGGUAUUUGUAGUAGCCUCUAUGGCCAGUUACUAACUCAGUUAAGUGGUAACUACAUUCUCUGUUGUAAUGAUUAACACACAUAUCUCUUCGUCGAGCUCUCCUACGUCCAUUCCGACAUUUAAUCAAUAAUAGUGUCCUUUGUUCGUUCUUCGGCAGUCGAUCUCCUAGUGUAAAUUUGUGACAGUUUUUCCUUUUGAAAUCCGCCACUAUAAUUCCGGCAAUUUCCAGCCAAUCUUUCAUCUUGCAGAUUAUUUCUUUUAUUACUGUCUGAAUCUAAUGGAUUUGCUUUGCCAUAACAACCGCGGCAACAUCGUUUUUGAAAACAACCAUUUUUAGUCCCACUUGAAGAGGCAGACAUAAGACUCCAUUAUACAUGAUAUUUCCCUAGAAUAGACCCAGCAUCAGCCCCUGAGAAACCUCGGAUGAGGCGAAUGUAGUAUUGAUUUGUGCUUCGUUACUCAUGUAUUUUAGCUCCCUAUAGGAGAAAUAAUUAGCCACUAUGUUCCUCAACUGCACUGAAUGGCGCAAUACUCCAUUGAUCCUCAGCGCCAUCUUCACCUCAUAUGGCAGUGUCUGGAGGGAUCUCCUAAAUCCAAACUCCUUCCUUUUUAACCUUUUCUAAUAAUCUGUUGGUAAUUACUCCUUCUUACAUUGAGUUGUAACAUAUAAUGGGGGACCUUCAGUUAGCUGUUUCUUUUUGGUAACGUAAUCAAACGUUAAUAGAUCAAUUUUUUAGAGAACAUCCCUUCAUCGAGGGCUGCACUGCCUUGUUCGGAAUACCAUCAGAUACCGAGACUUGUUGCUUAUUCUCUUACAUACUUUCAGCAAUUUAUCUUUCGUGAUACAAGGUGUGUUCUCUGAAUUGGCGGUUCUAUGAUAAUUGCUUCAUUCACAGGGUCGAUAUUUUUGGGAAUGCUGCCUUCACUAUUAAUCUCAUUAUUGUUGGACAAGUUAUUUGCAAUGAUUUCUUCCCCUUCAUUUUAGCCGCCAUCACACUGUAGACAGUAUCUCAAUGGUUUAGGUCAGCUUCGUUGCAGGGGAUUCUAAAGCUUCUAGGCGGGCAUAUCCUGCUCUUCUUGGCUGCUGGAGUGAGCGCACAUCUAAGCACAUUUAUAUGCUAGCAGGCUCUGUUUAUAGUUACUGGACAGGCUCUGUACAUGGUUUAUUGUAAUUACUACAAACAUCAUUAUGGAGAUCACAGCAAAUUACGUAAACAUUCCGCAGUUUCGUAAACCGCCUUUUUAUUACCAAAGUUUUGGUAAUUUUGGCACUACAUUUUCUAUAUGAUUCAUAAAUAAAAAUUUUCCAAAGAAGAAGAUACCUCUAGUUAUAGAUUCUCUGCGUCCAUAUUUGAGAUAAAAUUGACCUGUUACCUACAGGUUUAGAAAAUGCAAAAUUUAGGUCUCGCUAGGAAGUGAUGUGAAUACUUGAUUUGCGACCCUAGACAGGACAAAUUAUCAACGGUUGGCCAGUGUGAUUUCCACCAUAUAAUUCGGCUUGCCUUUAAUUAGUGUACAACCGAAGAUCUAACGCCAACUGGUCGAUGCAGGCAGUUUAUACAUCUGGGGUUGUUUUGCAUAAUAUAAAUAUCAUCAGCAUAGGUCAGAACUAGGGCGAACUUGAAAAAGAUAGUGUUUCUCGCAUUGACAUCAACAUCACGGAUCAUUUUUUCCGAGGCAGGUUAAAAGGGAUGCUUGACAUCCCCUUGUCUUAGACCAUUGUUGACCAUGAAAGGUACCGAGGGUGAUCCUGCUACUCUGCAUUCCCACCGUCAGGAUCGGGGUCUGCCUAAACAACCUCAGUUUUGUCGGGAUUUCUCAUGGCUAUGUAAAGUUUUACUCUCGCUAUUUUAUGUAGGCAACGUUGGAGUCGAAGGAAAUAUGGUGUAACUGAUGUGCAUAUUCCAACAGCUUUUCCUUCGCAUAUCGCACGGAAAUUUGAUAUAUUACUGUAUGUUCACGCAUUUGUUGGUUCUAUCGGACUUCCUUGUUUUGUCUGUGAAGGCGCUUUUUAACUCGACGGAGUUCAAAGUAAGUCUCUGAUGGUGCCCAUGUACUUUGAAUUGCUGGCUUUCAAUCAUCAUUGAGCCACUCGUUCUGACUUUUUUGGGGGCUGGAGUCGAACAUGUUUGUAGUUGUACCAAUCAUAACGUUUAGAUGAUUGGACAUCUGGUAGCUGCGGUUAUUACGGUAAUCUUUUCACCGUUGUAGACUGGUGAAGAUUUGAUGUGGUGUUGUUUUUUGAGCUCGGAGCACUAUGUCAACAAAGUAGUGAUCCGAGUGUAUAGUGGCCCCUUUAUAUAUUCUGUCACUCAUGAAGACUAAGAGGUGGCGGCGUUCGAUUAUGACGUGGUCGAUUUAGUUGAAAGUGGUACCAUCUGGAGGGACCUAUGUAUAUUUGUGAUACUUCCAACAACCAUUUCUGGUGACACCGCUAGUUGAAUAUGCGGCAGCCCCUUAUCAUGGGUAAUUCUACAUCGCUCUUCUCUAGGAAACCAGACAACAUCCAGCGUAUUUCUUUAACAUUGGGACAGGGUACCGGCUAGCUCCUAACCAGUAUUAAUGCAGAGUCUCGUAUUACUGUUUGGCCAUGUAGAAAUGAAACCCUUCAAGAACAAGGCCUAUAACAAAAUUUGAAAAGGACAGUUAGUUGGCCAUAUACAUGCGUGGGAAGGCUGAAUCUCGUCCUUAGAUUUACCGAGUCAUUCACACAUCCCACAUUUAGGUGUUUUAAUUUUGACAAUCAUCAGAUUGAGUCCUUAUACAUAAUAGGCAUUUUUUUCGAAUGAGAGUUUUAUAUUUGGAUAAUUGUGUUCUAGAUAACUCAAGUCCGGUUCCCCUUGUACUCUUUUAAAGGUUUUAUAUAAAAACCUUAUUAAGAUCGGUUGACAGUUUGUCUCUCUAUCCGUCUGUAUGUCUGUCACACGACCUUUUCUGGAAAAAACUAGACCUAUUGCGAUGACAUUUGGUAAGCAUUUGCAGACCUUGAAAUCCGAGCAUGUAGUGAAAAGCAUGUUUUUGUAUUGAAUUUAAGCGAAGAGAAAAUGCAAAAUGUUUUUCUUCAAAUAUAAUUUUAAAAAGUUUCGGUUAGCCCUUUAUGAAACAGAUCCCACAUUUGACAAUGGUUGCAAAGUAUGGUAGUCAGGGAUCAAUAAAUACAAAUUUUAAGUGAGUUUGAACUGAUACUCAGAAACUAUUCAACAUAAAAGUUUGAACAACAGUCAUGAAGAGGAGGCCCUCGAGGCCUCAAAGUACAUAUAUAUCAUACCGAUCUCUGUUCAAACGAAACUAAUACUACGUACGUACGUACGUAUAUUACUAUUUUUCCGAAUUUUCCCUUAAAUUCAUUAUCGUAUUACAAAAUCGCAGAAGCUUAAAACAACAUAAGGUAUUAUACAAUAUUAGAAAGUUUGAAGGAACUCGUUGUCUAUUUCGUGGCAAUUUACUGCAGCCUAAAACAACAUAGAACACUAGCACCAUAUUAAACUGUCCGACAUACUAAAUUAAAAUGGAAUCGUUAUGUAACGAAACAUUCUCAAAUACGAAUUACACAAAAUAUUUCAUACCUGAAACGCCGAACUUCCGGUUACCCAAGCUGAGCAAUACUGAAAAUGCGUUGAUGGAAUUUGCAGACUAAAGCUGAAUAGAUUCAGUUAGGAUCAUUAACCAGGUUACCUAGGUAGGACUAAAUGUGAAUAGAUUCAGUUAGAAUCAUUAACGAGGUUACCUAGGUGAUACCCCUGAGAAAAUAGUUUGGUAACUUCGUAUUUGGGUAUCAAAGGGUAUCUCAAAAUGAACACCACAUACGGCGAACCAUUUUGAAGAAGAAAUCAAAGAAAAGUUGAAUAUUAGUUCCAUGUAUGUACAUAGUAUCUGCUGAUAUCUACACUUCUCUCCCUUCCAUAGCGUCAGGCCUAACGAGAGAUCAGAUUUUCUCCGCUUGGCCCUGUACAGCGCGUUUACUAUUUUCGCGCUCCGAAAAUGUCGACCCUUGACAAUGCUCUUCAACUUCCCCAGAUCCUACCGACAGCCACUUGUCAACAUUCCUGGAAUUUAAGGGUUCUGUUGAGUCCUACUCAAACAGUCAGCAAUUUUAUUUUCGCCCUUUCUUACUAGUGACCUAUUCACUGCCACUUCUACGUCUCAAUAAACAGCUCUACAGACGUCUUGCCGGCACGCCUGCAUCACAGGUCAUUACAGAUACUCUUCGUUGACGCUGACAAAAGCUGCCUCAAGUUAAAAAAAAAAGAGGAAGUGAAAUGGGCAACUAGAGUGCAGGCACUGUUCUACAAUGAUUCAUAAGGUGUUAUUGUGAUCAAUGCAGGGAGUCCCAGGGUGGGCCUUCUAUACAUAUUAUUUCAUUUACUUUUGUAAAUAAAUAAUUAAAAUUAAAAAAACAUUGACUUUGAUGCAGCACGAAGCACGUCAAAGUUUGCAACUCCCAAGCCUCAAUGCUGGUUUUGGAUUUUUGAUUUAGUUAUCCAGGAACGUUGUAGCGCUUUCAGUUUCUCAAAUGGAAGGAUUUCAUUACCCAAAGGCAUCUAAAUUAUACGUAAAUCAUAAAGAUACUUUGACAAAGUCUUAGAAAUUCAAUUUUGCAACAUGAAAUAUUUUUUUUUCUUUCUCCUAGAAAUAACUCUCUUGGCAUUCUCGAAAGAAGUUAUUCAAAUUUCCACAUUUCAAGCCUCAUCCUCUUACUAAUUAUUAUUGUAAUAUAGUAAUAAAUUGUCUGACUGUAAACUUUAUCAGAAAUAAAUAAAAACGACAGAUUUAAGAACUAGACUAGGAUUUCGCUCGAUUUGACUCUCAAACCAUAAUACAGCUAGAGAAACCAUUGAAAUAAGCAGAUAUAUCCGAAAGUGAGGAAUAUAAAUCCAGGAUCUGUGAAGCAGACUCGAUUUUAUAACCACACAAUUAUUCCAAGGGAAUCGCAUUAACAGAUUCACCGAAAAUCCAAAAUCAUUCAAUUUAGAAACACUAUCCGAUAAAGAGCCUCUUAUUCUAAAUCUUCAAAGAAAAAAACAUUUACCAAGUUAAGACAAAAAACAAAAAGCAAAACCACAAAUUUUAGAUGUAGCGAAAAUUCAGUGAGAAGAGAACUAAAGGAUUUUUAGUUACCCUUUCGUAUUCCAUUUUUAUAUACAAAUAAGUGGAAAAUUUCAAACAACUCACAUUUUAUAUGCAUAUAUAUAAAAAUGUAGUAGAAAGUUACCCUUUUCUGUUGUUUUAUUUGCCAUUUCUAUUUCUAAACGAAGGAAAAGAAAUAUGUUGAAAUGAAAUGAAAAUUAAAUUAUUAUGAGAUCACGUCUAAACCAGAGAAACAAAACCUAUGACAUAUAUGAAAGCACCGUCCGCAUUAAUAUGUUAUGAAACAUUAUAUAUUGAAGAGAAAUGACAAACGACAACUAAUAUUAAAAACUAAAUCCUAUAUCAAUUAAAAGUCAAGAAUUUAUCUCUAGAGCAACAUCAAUCCGUUAACAGUGAGCUAAAAGAUAUAAUCUCUCACCUGCAAAAUUGUUAAUGAAAAAUUUCCAUAGAAAAUGUUCAACUUUGAAAGAAAUACAAUAAUAAAAAAAUAUAAAUGAUAAAAAAGUCUUUUGUGGCCAAAAUUUAAGAGAUAAAAAUACACCCAUAACAUUAAAAUAAAGUUUUAUAUUGUAUUAGUCGAGAGAAAGCUGUUCUAGUGAAAGUAAAUAUGCCUGACUAAAUUGCGACGAUAGAACGAAUGAAAAAAAUGAAAAUUGAGUCUUAAUAGCAACAGAAAAUAAAUUUAAUAAAUCUCAUAAAUAUGGCAAGGUGUCACCAAAAAGUCUUUUAUCUAUUGUACCUAAAUAUAUGGGUUCUGGUCUAAAGUUUGCUUGUAAACAAAGGAAUUCAAGAGUAUUUAAACAAAAGCAAAAGAGAAACUGUAUAAGACGAUAGUUAUGGCUAUGAAAAUUCAAAUGAAACAUAGUUCUUUUCUGUUUUUAUAAGUUUUAUAAAAAUAAAAUCAUAUUUACUGAA